UUCAGUGUUAAAGUCGACGUCACUUGGCCAGGCCGAUUUGAAGGCUUCGUAGUUUUUAAUGAAGUCGGUGGUGAUCGAAGUGGCGGUUAAAAAAAUGCAUAAGCACCCUUUUUCUUCCAUUACACGGGGAAACAUAGGAUGGUAUUACGCCACCUUGUACGCCGGUGCAAUACGCUGUUCAUUACUGCGCUACCGGAUUCAUCAUAUCAGCUGAACCGCAAUGACAUGCUUAUGCAGGUGGAGUUGCUGAGUGAACAUCUGUACGAAAGGGGUCCUGUUAACGCAGCUAAUGCUUGCUGCUUUUCGCGCUCGGCAAUGGCGGCGAAUGUGGCAAAAUACACUACAUGUACUUAGAAGAUUAGAAAAAGCUAUCUUAGCAUAUAAAUAA